GACGUAGGGCGCGAGCGUUGUCCGGAUUUAUUGGGCGUAAAGAGCUCGUAGGCGGCUUGUCGCGUCGACUGUGAAAUCCCGCGGCUCAACUGCGGGUCUGCAGUCGAUACGGGCAGGCUAGAGUUCGGUAGGGGAGACUGGAAUUCCUGGUGUAGCGGUGAAAUGCGCAGAUAUCAGGAGGAACACCGGUGGCGAAGGCGGGUCUCUGGGCCGAUGCUGACGCUGGAGGAGCGAAAGCGUGGGGAGCGAACAGG
rnacentral:rRNA from 1 species